AGGGGCUUGACCACCUGGAAAGAACACAUCUACUCAGUGUCCCAAUUGGGAAUGUUGGCUGUUGCUUCGUUGACCAUCUUUACAAGGUUUACCACACUUUCAGGAACCCCUGGAGGGGGUAAGGGAAGAUUUUUUGGUGGAGGUCCCCGUAGAUAGGAUCUCUUGUCAAAUCGCCACUCUCCAAUUUUGCCAUAUGUUAGCU
rnacentral:misc_RNA from 1 species